GAGUCGGACACGACUGAAGUGACUUAGCAGCAGCAGCAGGCCUUAUUCUCUAAAAUUCUGAUUAAGCCUACAUUUUUCAGUUGAAGAUGGGAUAUAUGUUGGCUGGAGAAAGGACAGGAGAGUGAAAUUUGGUCAAUAGGAAAAUGAUCACUGGGGAAAAGGUCAGAAGCCAGUGUCUCUAAAAGUAAGAUUUCCAGUCCCCUAAAACUUUAUGAAAAAGUGCAGAAACUUACCUACAUGAGCCCAGUUUGAUCAAAAAAUUCUAAGAAAAUGCUGCUUAUAGAUGCUUUCAAUAAUUCCUUAAUUAUAUGAGACUAUCUGGGCACUUGUAUUUCUGACUCAUCUAAUUCUAAAAGAAACCUCAAAUGUUUUUUGCCACAAUAGGGCAAUAAUAGGCAAAGUUAGUGACUCUCUUGCUGACGCUGCAACUUCCGUGUCACCUGGGAAUUUUUUAGAGAUGAAAAUUACCAAGCCCACUCUAAACCUACUGAAUCAGAAUUUGUGUGGGUGGGGCCCAGCCACUUGUUUUUUGAUGAGAUCUCUGGGUGUUUCCCAUUCCUGAAUUUUGAUAAACUCUGGUAUAAGUCAUUUAGGGCAGAUAGCAUUUUUCCCAACUUAAAAGAAAUGAAGCAGAAGAAAAAGGCAUAACUUCCUUCCCAUGGUGAAUGCAUUUUAGCACCCCCAACUCGGGAAGGAUCAGAGAGGAGCAUGAAGUGAGAAACCACCACUAGUCUAUUGCAGGAAGCCCAGCAGGAUUCCAGCGCACAACCACCUGAGGGUCUGCUCUCACAGGUGCAAUCAAUAUGCAUGGAACCAUCGGACUCCUUACACCUAAUCUAAAUCCUCUUUCUGCAAAUUAAGCUUUUCUCUUUGUUUAAUUUGCAGUGGAAAAGAACAGCUGGUGGGUAAAAUUAGUAUGAAAAAUGUCUAUAUACUUAAGGUCCAUGAUUUAAGUCCUUCCUGACUUCUUUCCUCAAAGUAAAAAACACUUUCUUCUCUUACUUUCAAACUCUCUCUUGAACUAUCAUCCUAGUACUUGUUAGGCAAAUCUAAAUUAAUUACUUUUAAACUUCAGAUUUUGAAAGAAUAAAACCAUCUAGUCUUGCUAUACUUAAAAACUGCUACAUACUCAAGAGAUAAGCAUAGCCAGAAUCUCUCCACGGGAACUCAGAUGACUUCCAACACAUGCCUACUUUUCAUCAAUCCCCACUGUAUCAUUAACAUUACAUAAAGAUUAUAGUUUAAUAUACUCGCCCUUUUAUUUUUUUAUAUAUAUUUUGCUCAUGUUUAGGAAAAAAUUUUAAAAAUGCACAUUCUUGGAAUAUCCUGCUGACAUCCACUUUGUUGGUAAAGCACCCCAAUUUCUGCGCUAACAUUUCACAGUUCUCCUUGUGCCUUUAAUGGGAUUAAGUACAGCCCGCUCCAGGUGUGGAUAGUAAUUCAGACUGGCCAAUCAGAUCACUGCCUCCUCCCAUCCAUGCCACUUGGAUCAGGGGUUAGCGCUUGACUUACUUCAGACCAAACAGAGACAAGGAGACAGUAAAGUUAGAAUCUCAUAUUCUUUGCUUAAACUUUUGAGGAAGGGGUACGUUUUUUCAGGUGCAAUUGCUAAGAGGAUGGAACAUGAGUCUAGCGCUGUCAGCAGCCUUCUGUCCACCUAACUGGAGAACCUACCAUAAGCAGAAACAACACAGAGAGAAGCAGGGCUAAGAGAUGGAAAGACUCCUGAGAAGGCUCCAAAACAGAUUUUAAACCACAGAGUGGAAAUUUUCAGGGAAAAUAAAAAACUCUGGAAAAGACUCACCAUGCCAGAUCUGUUGAAGAAUAUUUAUGAUUAAUGGGAGGAGCAAAAAACAUCACAUUAAUAACAAGGGUUUGGAAGAGGUUGAUUCCAGUCUUCAUGGGUGACUUUGAAGGGUUCAAGACUUCAGUGAAGAAAGUAACUGCAGAUGUGCUGGAUAUAACAAGAGAACUAGAAGUGGAGCCUAAAGAUGUAACUGAAUUGUAAUCUCAUGAUAAACUUGAAUGGAUGAAGAGGUGUUUUUUAAGGAUAAUGAAAGAAAUGGUUUCUUGAAAUGGAAUCUACUCCUAGUGAUAAUUCUGUGAAGAUUAUUGGAAUUAUAAGAAGGGAAUAAGAAUAUUACAUAAAUUUGGUUGAUAUAGCAGAGGCAAGAAUUGAGAGGAUUAACUCCAAUUUUAAAAUAUAUUUUACUAUGAGUAAAAUGCUAUCAAAUAACAUUACAUGCUGCAGAGAUAUCAUUU